AUACGGAGGAUCCGAGCGUUAUCCGGAUUUAUUGGGUUUAAAGGGUGCGCAGGCGGCCAUUUAAGUCAGCGGUUAAAUCGUGGGGCUCAACCCCAUUCUGCCGUUGAUACUGGGUGGCUUGAUUGCGGUCGAGGUUGGCGGAAUUCGUUGUGUAGCGGGGCAAUGCAUAGAUAUGACGAAGAACACCGAUUGCGUAGGCAGCUGACCAGAUCGCAAAUGACGCUCAUGCACGAAAGUGCGGGGAUCGAACAGGAUUAGAUACCCUGGUAGUCCGCACAGUAAACGAUGAAUACUUGUUUUCGGCGAUAUAAUGUCGGAGGCAAAGCGAAAGCGAUAAGUAUUCCACCUGGGGAGUACGCCGGCAACGGUGAAACUCAAAGGAAUUGGCGGGG
rnacentral:rRNA from 1 species